rnacentral:rRNA from 1 species
UACGUAGGGUGCAAGCGUUGUCCGGAAUCAUUGGGCGUAAAGCGCGCGUAGGUGGCCAUUUAAGUCCGCUGUGAAAGUCAAAGGCUCAACCUUUGAAAGCCGGUGGAUACUGGAUGGCUAGAGACGGAAGAGGCGAGUGGAAUUCCUGGUGUAGCGGUGGAAUGCGCAGAUAUCAGGAGGAACACCAAUAGCGAAGGCAGCUCGCUGGGACGUUACUGACACUGAGGCGCGAAAGCGUGGGGAGCGAACAGG